rnacentral:lncRNA from 1 species
UAGAGUCUAUUUCUAAAAACACAUAUUGAAUGUACAUAUAUUCAGAAUAUACUAAUGAUCACAUAUUGGCAUAUUCUAUUUCCAUAAAUACUAUGAAAAAUACUUCAGUUACUUAUAGUCUAGUUUUACUAUUCAGAGUUGCGGUACAGUAUACUAACAUUAAAAGGAUAGGCUGUAGCCCCAGGGCACCCUGUUUUAAGUUUUGG